rnacentral:misc_RNA from 1 species
GAAAUGCGAUAAGUAAUGUGAAUUGCAGAAUUCAGUGAAUCAUCGAAUCUUUGAACGCACCUUGCGCUCCUUGGUAUUCCUUGGGGCAUGCCUGUUCGAGCGUCAUUUGUACCCUCAAGCUCUGCUUGGUGUUGGGUGUUUGUCCCGUCUCCGCGCGUGGACUCGCCCCAAAGUGAUUGGCAGCCGGCGUACUGGUCCCGGAGCGCAGCACAUGUCGCGCAAACGAGUGCCUUGGUACGGCGGCGUCCAUAAGCCCCUCUCUCACGCUCUUGACCUCGGAUCAGGUAGGGAUACCCGCUGAACUUAAGC